AUCAAGAUGGCUGCCGUUACCAUGGAAACGAAACAAAUGUGAAAAAAUCCAGUUUUUUGUUUUGGUGAACUGUUUGGAUAUGCUUAAACUCAGAAUCAUUAUAUUUUAAUACAAUGUAGGUGCCCACUAUAUACAGGUGUUGGAUGAUUUUGGCACUCAUUGGAACUACUAUGUUGCCAUGGAAACUACACCAAAAAUUUCAAAAAUAUCAAAAUGC
rnacentral:lncRNA from 1 species